AGCGAACGCUGGCGGCAGGCCUAACACAUGCAAGUCGAACGAACCUUUCGGGGUUAGUGGCGGACGGGUGAGUAACACGUGGGAACGUGCCUUUAGGUUCGGAAUAACUCAGGGAAACUUGUGCUAAUACCGAAUGUGCCCUUCGGGGGAAAGAUUUAUCGCCUUUAGAGCGGCCCGCGUCUGAUUAGCUAGUUGGUUGAGGUAAUGGCUCACCAAGGCGACGAUCAGUAGCUGGUCUGAGAGGAUGAUCAGCCACAUUGGGACUGAGACACGGCCCAAACUCCUACGGGAGGCAGCAGUGGGGAAUCUUGCGCAAUGGGCGAAAGCCUGACGCAGCCAUGCCGCGUGAAUGAUGAAGGUCUAGGAUUGUAAAAUUCUUUCACCGGGGACGAUAAUGACGGUACCCGGAGAAGAAGCCCCGGCUAACUUCGUG
rnacentral:rRNA from 1 species